AUGCAAGUCGAGGGGCAGCAUGCCCUUAGCUUGCUAAGGCCGAUGGCGACCGGCGCACGGGUGAGUAACACGUAUCCAACCUGCCGUCUACUCUUGGACAGCCUUCUGAAAGGAAGAUUAAUACAAGAUGGCAUCAUGAGUCCGCAUGUUCACAUGAUUAAAGGUAUUCCGGUAGACGAUGGGGAUGCGUUCCAUUAGAUAGUAGGCGGGGUAACGGCCCACCUAGUCUUCGAUGGAUAGGGGUUCUGAGAGGAAGGUCCCCCACAUUGGAACUGAGACACGGUCCAAACUCCUACGGGAGGCAGCAGUGAGGAAUAUUGGUCAAUGGGCGCAGGCCUGAACCAGCCAAGUAGCGUGAAGGAUGACUGCCCUAUGGGUUGUAAACUUCUUUUAUAAAGGAAUAAAGUCGGGUAUGUAUACCCGUUUGCAUGUACUUUAUGAAUAAGGAUCGGCUAACUCCGUGCCAGCAGCCGCGGUAAUACGGAGGAUCCGAGCGUUAUCCGGAUUUAUUGGGUUUAAAGGGAGCGUAGAUGGAUGUUUAAGUCAGUUGUGAAAGUUUGCGGCUCAACCGUAAAAUUGCAGUUGAUACUGGAUAUCUUGAGUGCAGUUGAGGCAGGCGGAAUUCGUGGUGUAGCGGUGAAAUGCUUAGAUAUCACGAAGAACUCCGAUUGCGAAGGCAGCCUGCUAAGCUGCAACUGACAUUGAGGCUCGAAAGUGUGGGUAUCAAACAGGAUUAGAUACCCUGGUAGUCCACACGGUAAACGAUGAAUACUCGCUGUUUGCGAUAUACAGCAAGCGGCCAAGCGAAAGCGUUAAGUAUUCCACCUGGGGAGUACGCCGGCAACGGUGAAACUCAU
rnacentral:rRNA from 1 species